AUUGAACGCUGGCGGAAUGCUUUACACAUGCAAGUCGAACGGCAGCACGGGGGCAACCCUGGUGGCGAGUGGCGAACGGGUGAGUAAUACAUCGGAACGUGCCCAGUCGUGGGGGAUAACGUAGCGAAAGUUACGCUAAUACCGCAUACGAUCUACGGAUGAAAGCGGGGGACCGUAAGGCCUCGCGCGAUUGGAGCGGCCGAUGUCAGAUUAGGUAGUUGGUGAGGUAAAGGCUCACCAAGCCGACGAUCUGUAGCUGGUCUGAGAGGACGACCAGCCACACUGGGACUGAGACACGGCCCAGACUCCUACGGGAGGCAGCAGUGGGGAAUUUUGGACAAUGGGCGCAAGCCUGAUCCAGCCAUUCCGCGUGCAGGACGAAGGCCUUCGGGUUGUAAACUGCUUUUGUACGGAACGAAAAGGUCUCUCUUAAUACGGGGGGCCCAUGACGGUACCGCAAGAAUAAGCACCGGCUAACUACGUGCCAGCAGCCGCCGUAA
rnacentral:rRNA from 1 species